CACGUAGGGUGCGAGCGUUGUCCGGAAUUAUUGGGCGUAAAGAGCUCGUAGGCGGUGUGUCGCGUCGGCCGUGAAAACCUGCAGCUUAACUGUGGGCUUGCGGUCGAUACGGGCAUCACUGGAGUUCGGCAGGGGAGACUGGAAUUCCGGGUGUAGUGGUGAAAUGCGUAGAGAUCCGGAGGAACACCAGUGGCGAAGGCGGCUUGCUAGGCUUGUUCUGACGCUCAGACGCGACAGCAUGGGGAGCGAACGGG
rnacentral:rRNA from 1 species